rnacentral:rRNA from 1 species
UACGUAGGGUCCAAGCGUUAUCCGGAAUCACUGGGCGUAAAGCGUGCGUAGGCGGAUGUUUAAGUGCAAUGCGAAAUCCUGUGGCUCAACCAUAUGGACUGUAUUGCAUACUGGAUAUCUGGAGGAAUGGCAGAGGCAAGUGGAAUUACCGGUGUAGCAGUGAAAUGCGUAGAGAUCGGUAGGAACACCAAUGGCGAAGGCAGCUUGCUGGGCAUUU